rnacentral:rRNA from 1 species
AGUGAACGCUGGCGGUAGGCCUAACACAUGCAAGUCGAACGGCAGCACAGUAAGAGCUUGCUCUUACGGGUGGCGAGUGGCGGACGGGUGAGGAAUACAUCGGAAUCUACUUUUUCGGGGGGGAUAACGUAGGGAAACUUACGCUAAUACAGCAUACGACCUACGGGGGAAAGCAGGGGAUAUUCGGACCUUGCGCGAUUGAAUGAGCCGAUGUCGGAUUAGCUAGUUGGCGGGGUAAAGGCCCACCAAGGCGACGAUCCGUAGCUGGUCUGAGAGGAUGAUCAGCCACACUGGAACUGAGACACGGUCCAGACUCCUACGGGAGGCAGCAGUGGGGAAUAUUGGACAAUGGGCGCAAGCCUGAUCCAGCCAUCCCGCGUGGGUGAAGAAGGCCUUCGGGUUGUAAAGCCCUUUUGUUGGGAAAGAAAAGCAGCAGGUUAAUACCCCGCUGUUCUGACGGUACCCAAAGAAUAAGCACCGGCUAACUUCGUG